UGGGCAACCUGCCCCUCUCUCUGGGAUAACCCCGGGGAAACCGGAGCUAAUACCGGAUACUCCGGCUGGAUCGCAUGGUCCGGCCGGGAAAGGUCCGCCGGAGAGGGAUGGGCCCGCGGCCUAUCAGCUUGUUGGUGGGGUCAUGGCUCACCAAGGCGACGACGGGUAGCUGGU
rnacentral:rRNA from 1 species